rnacentral:rRNA from 1 species
UAGAGUUUGAUCAUGGCUCAGAUUGAACGCUGGCGGCAGGCCUAACACAUGCAAGUCGAGCGGAAACGAGUUGUUUGAACCUUCGGGGGACGACAACGGCGUCGAGCGGCGGACGGGUGAGUAAUGCCUGGGAAAUUGCCCUGAUGUGGGGGAUAACCAUUGGAAACGAUGGCUAAUACCGCAUGAUAGCUUCGGCUCAAAGAGGGGGACCUUCGGGCCUCUCGCGUCAGGAUAUGCCCAGGUGGGUUUAGCUAGUUGGUGAGGUAAGGGCUCACCAAGGCGACGAUCCCUAGCUGGUCUGAGAGGAUGAUCAGCCACACUGGAACUGUGACACGGUCCAGACUCCUACGGGAGGCAGCAGUGGGGAAUAUUGCACAAUGGGCGCAAGCCUGAUGCAGCCAUGCCGCGUGUAUGAAGAAGGCCUUCGGGUUGUAAAGUACUUUCAGCAGUGAGGAAGAUGGUGUGUUUAAUACGUACAUCAUUUGACGUUAGCUGCAGAAGAAGCACCGGCUAACUCCGUGCCAGCAGCCGCGGUAAUACGGAGGGUGCGAGCGUUAAUCGGAAUUACUGGGCGUAAAGCGCAUGCAGGUGGUUUGUUAAGUCAGAUGUGAAAGCCCGGGGCUCAACCUCGGAAUAGCAUUUGAAACUGGCAGACUAGAG